rnacentral:rRNA from 1 species
CCACGGUAAGGUCAGCGACUGGGGUGAAGUCGUAACAAGGUAKUCGUAGGUGAACCUGCAGAAGGAUCA